rnacentral:rRNA from 1 species
GGGUUGUGAGGUUAAGCGACUAAGCGUACACGGUGGAUGCCCUGGCAGUCAGAGGCGAUGAAGGGCGUGCUAAUCUGCGAUAAGCGCCGGUAAGGUGAUAUGAACCGUUAUAACCGGCGAUACCCGAAUGGGGAAACCCAGUGUGAUUCGUCACACUAUCAUUACGUGAAUACAUAGCGUAAUGAAGCGAACCGGGGGAACUGAAACAUCUAAGUACCCCGAGGAAAAGAAAUCAACCGAGAUUCCCCCAGUAGCGGCGAGCGAACGGGGAGGAGCCCAGAGCCUGAAUCAGCAUGUGUGUUAGUGGAAGCGUCUGGAAAGGCGCGCGAUACAGGGUGACAGCCCCGUACACAAAAGCGCAUGUGUUGUGAGCUCGAUGAGUAGGGCGGGACACGUGGUAUCCUGUCUGAAUAUGGGGGGACCAUCCUCCAAGGCUAAAUACUCCUGACUGACCGAUAGUGAACCAGUACCGUGAGGGAAAGGCGAAAAGAACCCCGGCGAGGGGAGUGAAAAAGAACCUGAAACCGUGUACGUACAAGCAGUGGGAGCACCCUUUGGGGUGUGACUGCGUACCUUUUGUAUAAUGGGUCAGCGACUUAUAUUCUGUAGCAAGGUUAACCGAAUAGGGGAGCCG